AUUGUGAGCUCGAUGAGUAGGGCGGGACACGUGGUAUCCUGUCUGAAUAUGGGGGGCCCAUCCUCCAAGGCUAAAUACUCCUGACUGACCGAUAGUGAACCAGUACCGUGAGGGAAAGGCGAAAAGAACCCCGGCGAGGGGAGUGAAAAAGAACCUGAAACCGUGUACGUACAAGCAGUGGGAGCACGCUUAGGCGUGUGACUGCGUACCUUUUGUAUAAUGGGUCAGCGACUUAUAUUCUGUAGCAAGGUUAACCGAAUAGGGGAGCCGAAGGGAAACCGAGUCUUAACUGGGCGUUAAGUUGCAGGGUAUAGACCCGAAACCCGGUGAUCUAGCCAUGGGCAGGUUGAAGGUUGGGUAACACUAACUGGAGGACCGAACCGACUAAUGUUGAAAAAUUAGCGGAUGACUUGUGGCUGGGGGUGAAAGGCCAAUCAAACCGGGAGAUAGCUGGUUCUCCCCGAAAGCUAUUUAGGUAGCGCCUCGUGAAUUCAUCUCCGGGGGUAGAGCACUGUUUCGGCAAGGGGGUCAUCCCGACUUACCAACCCGAUGCAAACUGCGAAUACCGGAGAAUGUUAUCACGGGAGACACACGGCGGGUGCUAACGUCCGUCGUGAAGAGGGAAACAACCCAGACCGCCAGCUAAGGUCCCAAAGUCAUGGUUAAGUGGGAAACGAUGUGGGAAGGCCCAGACAGCCAGGAUGUUGGCUUAGAAGCAGCCAUCAUUUAAAGAAAGCGUAAUAGCUCACUGGUCGAGUCGGCCUGCGCGGAAGAUGUAACGGGGCUAAACCAUGCACCGAAGCUGCGGCAGCGACGCUUAUGCGUUGUUGGGUAGGGGAGCGUUCUGUAAGCCUGCGAAGGUGUGCUGUGAGGCAUGCUGGAGGUAUCAGAAGUGCGAAUGCUGACAUAAGUAACGAUAAAGCGGGUGAAAAGCCCGCUCGCCGGAAGACCAAGGGUUCCUGUCCAACGUUAAUCGGGGCAGGGUGAGUCGACCCCUAAGGCGAGGCCGAAAGGCGUAGUCGAUGGGAAACAGGUUAAUAUUCCUGUACUUGGUGUUACUGCGAAGGGGGGACGGAGAAGGCUAUGUUGGCCGGGCGACGGUUGUCCCGGUUUAAGCGUGUAGGCUGGUUUUCCAGGCAAAUCCGGAAAAUCAAGGCUGAGGCGUGAUGACGAGGCACUACGGUGCUGAAGCAACAAAUGCCCUGCUUCCAGGAAAAGCCUCUAAGCAUCAGGUAACAUCAAAUCGUACCCCAAACCGACACAGGUGGUCAGGUAGAGAAUACCAAGGCGCUUGAGAGAACUCGGGUGAAGGAACUAGGCAAAAUGGUGCCGUAACUUCGGGAGAAGGCACGCUGAUAUGUAGGUGAAGUCCCUUGCGGAUGGAGCUGAAAUCAGUCGAAGAUACCAGCUGGCUGCAACUGUUUAUUAAAAACACAGCACUGUGCAAACACGAAAGUGGACGUAUACGGUGUGACGCCUGCCCGGUGCCGGAAGGUUAAUUGAUGGGGUCAGCGCAAGCGAAGCUCUUGAUCGAAGCCCCGGUAAACGGCGGCCGUAACUAUAACGGUCCUAAGGUAGCGAAAUUCCUUGUCGGGUAAGUUCCGACCUGCACGAAUGGCGUAAUGAUGGCCAGGCUGUCUCCACCCGAGACUCAGUGAAAUUGAACUCGCUGUGAAGAUGCAGUGUACCCGCGGCAAGACGGAAAGACCCCGUGAACCUUUACUAUAGCUUGACACUGAACAUUGAGCCUUGAUGUGUAGGAUAGGUGGGAGGCUUUGAAGUGUGGACGCCAGUCUGCAUGGAGCCGGCCUUGAAAUACCACCCUUUAAUGUUUGAUGUUCUAACGUGGACCCGUGAUCCGGGUUGCGGACAGUGUCUGGUGGGUAGUUUGACUGGGGCGGUCUCCUCCUAAAGAGUAACGGAGGAGCACGAAGGUUGGCUAAUCCUGGUCGGACAUCAGGAGGUUAGUGCAAUGGCAUAAGCCAGCUUGACUGCGAGCGUGACGGCGCGAGCAGGUGCGAAAGCAGGUCAUAGUGAUCCGGUGGUUCUGAAUGGAAGGGCCAUCGCUCAACGGAUAAAAGGUACUCCGGGGAUAACAGGCUGAUACCGCCCAAGAGUUCAUAUCGACGGCGGUGUUUGGCACCUCGAUGUCGGCUCAUCACAUCCUGGGGCUGAAGUAGGUCCCAAGGGUAUGGCUGUUCGCCAUUUAAAGUGGUACGCGAGCUGGGUUUAGAACGUCGUGAGACAGUUCGGUCCCUAUCUGCCGUGGGCGCUGGAGAACUGAGGGGGGCUGCUCCUAGUACGAGAGGACCGGAGUGGACGCAUCACUGGUGUUCGGGUUGUCAUGCCAAUGGCACUGCCCGGUAGCUAAAUGCGGAAGAGAUAAGUGCUGAAAGCAUCUAAGCACGAAACUUGCCCCGAGAUGAGUUCUCCCUGACCCUUUAAGGGUCCUGAAGGAACGUUGAAGACGACGACGUUGAUAGGCCGGGUGUGUAAGCGCAGCGAUGCGUUGAGCUAACCGGUACUAAUGAACCGUGAGG
rnacentral:rRNA from 1 species